UUUCUCUUUUUUUUGGUUCGCCGGGAUGCCCUUUUUUGCCUGGACUAUUUUAUUCUUUUCGUCCAGCGGGUCAAUUUUACGAAGUAUUUUUUAACUGCGUCCGCAUUCACAGGGGAUGGAAAAUCCUCGCCGUCCAUGGUCGUUAACAAAAAGGCUCUGCUAGAGAAAACCUUCUUGACCACGAAUGGGCGUUCAUAACUGUGUGUCCACUUGCCCCUACGAUCGUUCUGAGGAGGAAAGAUCCUUUUCAACACCACAUCUCUCAU
rnacentral:lncRNA from 1 species